rnacentral:tRNA from 1 species
AGGGCAGUAGCUCAACUGGUAGAGCAUCUGAUUCCAAAUCAGAGGGUUGCGGGUUCAAGUCCUGCCUGCCCUGCCA